AUUGAACGCUGGCGGCAGGCCUAACACAUGCAAGUCGAACGAGUGGCGGACGGGUGAGUAAUGUCUGGGAAACUGCCUGAUGGAGGGGGAUAACUACUGGAAACGGUAGCUAAUACCGCAUACCAUCAGAUGUGCCCAGAUGUGAUUGGCUUGUUGGUGGGGUAACGGCUCACCAAGGCGACGAUCCCUAGCUGGUCUGAGAGGAUGACCAGCCACACGGGAACUGAGACACGGUCCAGACUCCGACGGGAGGCAGCAGUGGGGAAUAUUGCACAAUGGGGGCAAGCCGGAUGCAGCCAUGCCGCGUGUAUGAGGAAGGCCUUCGGGUUGUAAAGUACUUUCAGCGGGGAGGCGGUAGGCGAAGAAGAAGCACCGGCUAACUCCGUGCCAGCAGCCGCGGUAAGAG
rnacentral:rRNA from 1 species